rnacentral:rRNA from 1 species
GAUUCGUCACACUAUCAUUAACUGAAUCCAUAGGUUAAUGAGGCGAACCGGGGGAACUGAAACAUCUAAGUACCCCGAGGAAAAGAAAUCAACCGAGAUUCCCCCAGUAGCGGCGAGCGAACGGGGAGGAGCCCAGAGCCUGAAUCAGCAUGUGUGUUAGUGGAAGCGUCUGGAAAGGCGCGCGAUACAGGGUGACAGCCCCGUACACAAAAGCGCAUGUGCUGUGAGCUCGAUGAGUAGGGCGGGACACGUGGUAUCCUGUCUGAAUAUGGGGGGACCAUCCUCCAAGGCUAAAUACUCCUGACUGACCGAUAGUGAACCAGUACCGUGAGGGAAAGGCGAAAAGAACCCCGGCGAGGGGAGUGAAAAAGAACCUGAAACCGUGUACGUACAAGCAGUGGGAGCACCCUUCGGGGUGUGACUGCGUACCUUUUGUAUAAUGGGUCAGCGACUUAUAUUCUGUAGCAAGGUUAACCGUAUAGGGGAGCCGGAGGGAAACCGAGUCUUAAUUGGGCGUUAAGUUGCAGGGUAUAGACCCGAAACCCGGUGAUCUAGCCAUGGGCAGGUUGAAGGUUGGGUAACACUAACUGGAGGACCGAACCGACUAAUGUUGAAAAAUUAGCGGAUGACCUGUGGCUGGGGGUGAAAGGCCAAUCAAACCGGGAGAUAGCUGGUUCUCCCCGAAAGCUAUUUAGGUAGCGCCUCGUGAAUUCAUCUCCGGGGGUAGAGCACUGUUUCGGCUAGGGGGCCAUCCCGGCUUACCAACCCGAUGCAAACUGCGAAUACCGGAGAAUGUUAUCACGGGAGACACACGGCGGGUGCUAACGUCCGUCGUGAAGAGGGAAACAACCCAGACCGCCAGCUAAGGUCCCAAAGUCAUGGUUAAGUGGGAAACGAUGUGGGAAGGCCCAGACAGCCAGGAUGUUGGCUUAGAAGCAGCCAUCAUUUAAAGAAAGCGUAAUAGCUCACUGGUCGAGUCGGCCUGCGCGGAAGAUGUAACGGGGCUAAACCAUGCACCGAAGCUGCGGCAGCGAACGUAUCACCCAAGACAACUUUACGGAGUUGACGAUUGACGGAGCGAAGCGACGUCAAAGCGUUCAUUAAAGUCGAGUUGGCUUAGGGAUACGUUCGUUGGGUAGGGGAGCGUUCUGUAAGCCUGUGAAGGUGUGUCGUGAGGCAUGCUGGAGGUAUCAGAAGUGCGAAUGCUGACAUAAGUAACGAUAAAGCGGGUGAAAAGCCCGCUCGCCGGAAGACCAAGGGUUCCUGUCCAACGUUAAUCGGGGCAGGGUGAGUCGACCCCUAAGGCGAGGCCGAAAGGCGUAGUCGAUGGGAAACGGGUUAAUAUUCCCGUACUUGGUGUUACUGCGAAGGGGGGACGGAGAAGGCUAUGUUGGCCGGGCGACGGUUGUCCCGGUUUAAGCGUGUAGGUGUGUGUUCCAGGUAAAUCCGGUUCACUUUAACACUGAGGCGUGACGACGAGGCACUACGGUGCUGAAGCAACAAAUGCCCUGCU